rnacentral:lncRNA from 1 species
CAGUCUCUGCCACUAAAAUCUAAGGUACAUGCACGAUAGUGUCAUAUUCUGGUAUAACUGCACAAAUCAGUCACGGAACAGAGACCAGUUUUAUCUUUCAAUGGGUACGGAAAGCUUGUAACCACUGUUAGAUGAGCUAGAAUUGCUGCUUACUGCUGUACAACAAACAAUCCUUAUCGUCGGAACCUGUUUGUUAAGAUGUCAAGCAAAUCAGUUUCAAAAAUGGUUAUCCGACGAGGAGCAAAAAGGACCUGCCAGACCAGUAACCAGGGAAUUUAUCAUGAAUUGUAUUCUUCGGCCUGAUUAAUGUAAAUUGAGUUGCUGAAUGGGUUUCCAUUUUGUAGACAGACCAUUUUGCUGCGUCCAUAGUUGGAGCCAUCUUGCACAAAACUACCGGUUUCCUACUGGAUUUUAGUGUCUCCUGUAAGCUAGGCCUUAUCUAGAAUAGGAUGCGUCUGUUUUUUCACUUGCUGUGGGUUUCCACAGCUGAUCAUCUCAACGAAACAACCCUAUUAAUUGUGCAUUGUCAAGACGAUUGGGUUGUGUUGGACCUCCAGCUGUGAGCGUCAGAGUUUUCCUAACUACAAUUUUAUCAUCGAGAGUCAACCGACCGUUGUUUCGGUAUUUAUUGGAGUUAGACAAGUUUCGUUUUAAAUGCUGUUCUUUCCUGCACCCAAUUAGAAUCUGCACAGAAGGUUUGUCGAUUAGAUUACAAAGAAGACGCAAUUCCCGUCGUAUUUCAUGCAGCACGGACUGUUACACAGAAAAGCUACGUUAAUUCUCUACCCUUUUAAAAAUGAGGUCAAAUCGUAUUUCUUACAUAUGCAGGCGUUAUUGGUAGCAGAGAAGUAUGUGUUGUUCCACUCUUCGUUGAAUAUCGGAUACUCUGUCGCUCAAUAAUAAUCAACAUUAGCUUCCAGAGUAGUUCAAGGGAGUGGAACGCUGUACUUAAACAAGUUGAAAACAGUCAGUCUUAUCUCAGUGGCUAGGGACUAGCUUUAACAAUAAAAAAAAAGUCAAAUUUCAUAAAUCUGAUUUUGAUGAGACUUCGACAAUGCAGCAUAAAUCUGUGGCCGAAUGGAAGCGUCAAGGAACACAUUAAUUUCUCAGAAAUAACACCCACGUGUUCGGAUACAAGAAUUCGUUGAGCGAUUCUUAUAACUGAAGGGGCAUCGAAAUAUGCACAGAACAAAACUAUGACAGAAUUAGACACGCAAUUCACAGAAUGGAGUGUUUGGCAGUAACAAAACUUAGUUCUACUCAUUCUGCACAUCCCUGAAGAAGAUGCAAUCCAAAUGUGUGGAUGGAACAGAAGUCCAGUUCCCUCCAAAUUCAUAAUCACAGAUUUCCAUGACCCACUUCGAUCCGGAAUUAUUCACCAUGCACAGUGACUUAUUCUUGGAGUGCGCACAGAGCAGAUAUAGCCUAGUUCAACAUGUAGACCAUCUACAUGCAGAAAUAAAAACUAAAUUGGAGUCAA